rnacentral:rRNA from 1 species
GAUGAACGCUGGCGGCGUGCCUAAUACAUGCAAGUCGAGCGAACAGACGAGGAGCUUGCUCCUCUGACGUUAGCGGCGGACGGGUGAGUAACACGUGGAUAACCUACCUAUAAGACUGGGAUAACUUCGGGAAACCGGAGAUAAUACCGGAUAAUAUAUUGAACCGCAUGGUUCAAUAGUGAAAGACGGUUUUGCUGUCACUUAUAGAUGGAUCCGCGCCGCAUUAGCUAGUUGGUAAGGUAACGGCUUACCAAGGCAACGAUGCGUAGCCGAGCUGAGAGGGUGGUCGGCCCACCUGGAACUGGGACCCGGUCCAAACUCCUACGGGAGGCAGCAGGAGGGAAUCUUCCGCAAUGGGCGAAAGCCUGACGGAGCAACGCCGCGUGAGUGAUGAAGGGCUUCGGAUCGUAAAACUCUGUUAUUAGGGAAGAACAAAUGUGUAAGUAACUACGCACGUCUUGACGGUACCUAAUCAGAAAGCCACGGCUAACUACGUGC